CGUGGCGAACGGGUGCGUAACACGUGGAUAACCUUCCUUCAGGUGGGGAAUAACCCAGUGAAAAUUGGGCUAAUACCGCAUAACAUCGCGAUGGCACAUGCUGUUGCGUUCAAAGGCGCAAGUCGCCAGAAGAGGGAUCCGCGGCCGAUUAGCUUGUUGGCGGGGUAACGGCCCACCAAGGCUUUGAUCGGUAGCCGGACUGAGAGGUUGGCCGGCCACACUGGAACUGAGACGCGGUCCAGACUCCUACGGGAGGCAGCAGUGGGGAAUCUUGCACAAUGGACGAAAGUCUGAUGCAGCAACGCCGCGUGGGGGAUGAAGCUUCUCGGAGUGUAAACCCCUUUCGACCCGGACGAACGCCCGCAAGGGCUUGACGGUACGGGUAUAAGAAGCCCCGGCUAACUACGUGCCAGCAGCCGCGGUAAUACGUAGGGGGCCAGCGUUGCUCGGAAUUACUGGGCGUAAAGGGUCCGUAGGCGGUGCGGCAAGUCGAUAGUGAAAUCCCUGGGCUUAACCCAGGGGCUGCUAACGAAACUGCCGUGCUAGAGUGUGAGAGAGGCGAGUGGAAUUACGGGUGUAGCGGUGAAAUGCGUAGAUAUCCGUAGGAACAUCCGAGGCGAAAGCGGCUCGCUGGAUCACAAC
rnacentral:rRNA from 1 species